GGGUUCUCUCAGAUGAGGGAGCCUGAAAAUUUCAUCAUUGUAAACAAAUUAAUUUGCUGAACAGUUUAUCACUUAUAACAUUAACACUUGAACGGAUGGAGUGGCUAAGUAGAUUAAGAUGGAUUGUUAACACUUACUGUUCAGAAGCAAGGUCGACAUUAAUCUCAUGCUCUUGCCCAGCGAUUUUCCUGUCGGGCGUGUCGGCGUCCGUUACCUUAGACGCAAAACAUUUUUUCAAUAGGUAUGUAACCAAUAUGGAAAUAUGGAUGAAUAAUGAAAUUUACUAAUUAGUAAAAAUAUAACUUCAGGAAGCCAAGGCAGCCGGUGGAGCCCGGCAGCUGUGGCCGCCACCAGGCGCCAGCCACGCGGCUUACGGAAACAAGAUACGAUUUAACAAA